GAUGAACGCUGGCGGCGUGCCUAACACAUGCAAGUCGAGCGAGAUAUAAAGGACAGAUUCUUCGGAAGAUGAAGUUUAUUGAGAGCGGCGGACGGGUGUGUAACGCGUGGGUAACCUGCCCUAUGGAGGGGGAUAACGCAGAGAAAUUUAGCGCUAAUACCGCAUAAGCACACAGGAUCACAUGAUCUAGGGUGAAAAACUACCGGUGCCAUAGGAUGGACCCGCGUAAGAUUAGCUAGUUGGUGAGGUAACGGCUCACCAAGGCAACGAUCUUUAGCCGACCUGAGAGGGUGAUCGGCCACAUUGGGACUGAGACACGGCCCAAACUCCUACGGGAGGCAGCAGUGGGGGAGUAUUGCACAAUGGGCGAAAGCCUGAUGCAGCAACGCCGCGUGAAGGAAGACGGUUUUCGGAUUGUAAACUUCUAUCAGCAGGGAAGAAAAUAGACUGUACCUGACUAAGAAG
rnacentral:rRNA from 1 species